AUUUAGCACUGGUGGUCAAGUAUUAAGCCCACAUCGUAGUAGACUUCAAUGGACUACUUUAGAGGCUUUAAUGUGCGCUAGAAGUUGGUUGUGGAGUGCUGAAAAUACGGGUUCUACGAGCUAUAAAGUUGUUGCUGAAUGUGCUAAUGUAAUGAAUGAAAUGGUUUCAGAUGAUGAAGGUGAAAUGAUGGGUGCUGCUAGUGUCACUAAUUUGGAGGAAUGAUUAACAUUUAUUUGUUGAACAAUUUAAGUUGUUUCUUUUUUUUAUUAUGUAAUUUGAAAGAAUGAAACAUGUUUAAGUUGCUAAACAAAAUGAAACAUGUUGAAGGACAACC